GAUGAACGCUGGCGGCAUGCUUUACACAUGCAAGUCGAACGGUAACAGGCCGCAAGGUGCUGACGAGUGGCGAACGGGUGAGUAAUGCAUCGGAACGUGCCCAGUCGUGGGGGAUAACGCAGCGAAAGCUGUGCUAAUACCGCAUACGAUCUAUGGAUGAAAGCGGGGGACCGUAAGGCCUCGCGCGAUUGGAGCGGCCGAUGUCAGAUUAGGUAGUUGGUGGGGUAAAGGCCUACCAAGCCGACGAUCUGUAGCUGGUCUGAGAGGACGACCAGCCACACUGGGACUGAGACACGGCCCAGACUCCUACGGGAGGUAGCAGUGGGGAAUUUUGGACAAUGGGCGCAAGCCUGAUCCAGCAAUGCCGCGUGCAGGAAGAAGGCCUUCGGGUUGUAAACUGCUUUUGUACGGAACGAAACGGCCUGGGUUAAUACCCUGGGCUAAUGACGGUACCGUAAGAAUAAGCACCGGCUAACUACGUGCCAGCAGCCGCCGCAGUAA
rnacentral:rRNA from 1 species